rnacentral:tRNA from 1 species
GGAAGCGUACCUAAGCGCCUUCAGGAUUACCUUGAUAGGGUACACAACAGGGGUGAAACUCCCCUCGCUUCCC